rnacentral:lncRNA from 1 species
GAAUAUAGAGACAAAUCAUAUAUAAAAAGGUCUUCUAUUAGGGUAUUCUUUUAAAGGUUAGGAAAGUUGUAUGCGCAUGAACAUUAACAGAAAACAAAAAAAAAACUCACGGCAAAUCGUAUAGUUAUUUUCUUCUCUUGGAGAAAGUGGUUCCAGCUGGAGAACUUACCGCCUUACAAUCCCUUGCAAAAGAGGCAACCUUUCUUUCGUUCUCUACGGGUAAAGUUUGAAGUUACUUUUGGUUAUAAGAUGACUAGACAAUUAACCUUAAAAAUAUGUAUAUAAGUAUAUUAAAGAAUAUUCAGAUUUGUAGGUUAUAAUACUAAUCGUAGUUUUUGUAAAUUAAGCAACGAGAUUCGGCCUUUUCUCAUUUCAAGAUCCAAGGAAGGAGGCGAAGUGGCGAACUAACUAAUUGAUUUUUCCAAAUUAACAAAGACAACAAAAAAGUGAGGUAAAACGAAUCAACAUACUACUACUACUAAGAAUUUCCUUUGAGUGUACUUAAGGUUAGGUGCAGUGCACAAAAGAGAAAAUAAACAUUACAUUAGGUUUUCAUUUAGUGUGGGGUAAAAGUAAUAUGAAAUUGGUCUUGAUUUCUGCUUAAGAAAAACCCAACAAAAAUCAAAUAAUUAAAACAGGUAAGAUGAACGAGUCGUUAUCUUCCCGACUAAAAGUUUCACUAUAAUUUUUAAUUAAUAACUCACUUGUCGUCACACUGGAUCCCCUCGAAAUCAAAGACUUCAAAGUCGAUGAAACAAGAGAAGAUGCAUUUAUCAAUUUAAUCAUCGAUCUUUUAACCAAAAAAAAAUAUCACCAUCAAUAGUUCCACCAAUUGAAGUAUAUAAAACUAUAGUAUUGAAUUCCGUUUCCAUUCUUCACAGCUUGUCAUAACAAUAAGGCAACCGAUUGUAAAUUCUUGCUAUAAAAAAAACUUAACCUCUAUGAAAUUAAUAGUACGUAAUUAAAAAAAAAAACUAACUUCUAUGAAAUUAUUAGAAAUAUUUAAUAGUACUUAAUAAUAAAGAAAAAUCGGUGGCCUGAUAUCUCCGUCACCGUUUAAGUCGUCGCCUUUUCAGACACUAACACUGCAAGUGGAGGUGAGCGUAUACUUAACGGCGCUAUUUCCAACGCUAACUCCGGCGGCACUAUUCCCAGAGUUGAUAUACGCCGGACACCUAACGUAGAGAUGACGUGUCCCAGUGGUGUAAUCCCCAACUUUAAAACGAACUCGACCGUCAAUGUGAACCACUAACUUGAUUGCACCACGUGUCUGUUCCUGAUCAAGAGACAAAGCGUUGUACGGAGCGACGGGGACAGACUUUCCACCGACGAAAGGAGACCAAACGUUGACUUCUUGGUGUCUUUGAUAGGUCGCCGGAAUCGACGUUGCGUAAGUGAUCUGUUGGCUCUGGUAAGAAGCGUAGGCGUCGAGACGGUCGUAGUAGAUUCCAAUCUUGCCGUUUGGGUUACGAGAAUUCAGAGUUAUUUGGAAGUUGGAGGUGAGGAGGUUCGGUGGAUUGCCGGAGACGUUGAAGGAGAAGACGGUGGCGUCUUGGAGGAUGAAUCGUGGCUUCGACGGCUUAAGGAUUGCAAAGGCUAUUAAAAAUAUGAUGAGCAUUACGAAUAAGAUGAAUAUUGGGCAGCCACAACGGCGGAUCAUUUUACGGCGACGGGAAGCGUCGCUGUGGUGAGAGCUGCAGUCUCUGGUGGUCAUGUCGGAGCUCUGGUGGUGAGGUACGGUGGUUUUUUUUGGAAAGGAUCGAUAACGUGAGAAAAAGGUAUAUUCAAAGUAGUCUUGAUGGCCACAUAUAUGGUGGGUUUUAUACAUAUUAGUAUCGUUUUGCUUUUAAGGAAAUUAGUGAACGUAAGAGUUAAAACGGGAAAUUCUCAUGCUAAAAUAGAAAGAUGAAAUCAAAUAAAAUGUAACUUUGUAGAAAAAGGAAUUAACACAAAACAAAAAUUCAAAGAAAAUAGAACUGUUACAUUAUUCAUUUAUAAAUAAAAAAGAAAUUGUACACUUUGAUUAAUUGUUGGUAACCUUUUAUUCACUUUUCUGUUUCAAACUCCCUUUGUAACUUAAUAUUCCUUUUUUUUUUUUUGUAAUGGUCGGCACUGGACCGUGAUGGUAAUGGCCAAAACCAUUGUUUUCACCACAAUACUGUAUAUUAUAAUUUUUUUGGCAUCCGAAACAGAAUUGUUUCAUUAACUUGGCCAAAACCAUUGUUUUCAUUAACUUUCACCAAAAUAUGUAUUUUAUUUGAUAGGAUCGAUAUUAAUGGUCUCCAUGGAAGUACCAGGUAAGUCCUGAAACAUCAUAGUUCAAUAGAUAAACAUUAAAGAUGACACAUAAUAAGUGAAGAAAAUGUUCCAUCCGAAUACCUUUGCUUCCAUGUCGCCCGUAUAUAGUUUCUUUGGGACGACCCACUCAAUGUGUUAAACCGAUUUGAAGAACAUUGAGAGCAAUUUUCAAUAUGAGACUAGUAUCUAACAAAGGCUUACUUUCUCCUUAUUUUGCAGUUCAAUGGAUGCAUCUUCGAGGAACGGAACCAGUAAUCUCAAGUUUCGUUCAGACAAUGCCGUACCUGCAAAAGCCAAAAGAGACUACUAGUUCAUUCUCACAUCAAGACUUAGGAUCUGAUAGAUAAGAACAAGCUUUUCUGAUCCCACCAAUCUACAUUUGUUCAAGCAGAUACACUUAUCACUGAAGCACCAAACUGAAAUUGCAGAGGAAGCACACAAAACUCAUAAGAAGGAUUAUGUAAUUCCUCACCCUGGAAGCUGAUUGUCGGAUCUUCGAAGAUGCAAUCAUCCGAGUAAACUGCAGAAAUGAAGAUUCCUGGUACCAUUUAAAAAAAAAAUGAGUUUUACCAGUUUGUGUCUGAGCUUAGUUUGUGAAAGGGAAAUCUUAAUAAUGAGCUUAGUUUCUCACUCUCCACCUUUACUAAAGCCGUUCACAGUUCCGCUUCUGACCUUGUCAAUACUCUUGAGUAGAACCGAGACUGUCUCUCCGAGUAUAAUCCGAGAACUCAUGAUCAACAGUUUUCAAAGCUAACUCCUUUUCUCUCAGUGUCUCUAUUUCUUUUUCUUCCAUAACACAUCACCGAGGAAGGGCACAGCUAAAGCUGGAGCUUGAAACGAUUGAAUUGGUGAAAACCCAAUUGCAAUACAAAACAAUGCGUACCUUCGAUACAAACUCUAUCAAACUCUUUCUCUCUCUCUCGUCUUCGCGCUAUACCCACCCAGACAACAAUGGCACAAGCUCAUUUCCCUCUCUGUGCAACCUCAGAAACAACUUUACACCCGUCUUCAGGCUGGUUCGAGCUAACAAAACUCCCAUGUACGCCGGAGAAACCAAUACAGCCUCUAAUCGGCGAAAUGAGAUCCGACCAGUUUCGAAGCGAAAAGGAAAAGAAAAAAAAAGGAAAAGAAGAAAAAAGCAAAACGGCAAGGGAUAACAAGCAAAACGACAGUGUCAUAUAGGAACAUGUCUCCUAAUUGCUAAAAAUUGAUCAAAAUCGAGCCCAAAACGACAGCAUGAUAACACGCAAAACGCAGUACACUCGCUCAUUUUUGACUCAAUAUCGCGUGUAU